rnacentral:lncRNA from 1 species
AAAAAAAAAGGGGGAAGAAAGGCAUUUGUUUCAUGGAAAGGCCAAUUGAAAUUGCUGCCUGAGUUCUGAGGAGCUGCUGUGUGGAGAGGCCAGGGUUCACCUGUGAGCCAAUCCAUCUGCAUAUGUAAUUGGUGUUGACAAACUGCAUGUGGAAGUGUCUCUGGGUUACCAUGGGAACCUGAAAGGAGGUGAAUUCUGGUUCAGUGGGUCUCAGCAAAAGGAUGUCUCAGUGUGUUGUGUUACUGGGCUCUGCAGAGAACCAGCACGAAGAUGUCAAGAAGCAGCUGAUUGACCUACAGCUGCAGCACAAUAGCUUGAAACUUGAACAUCGUAAGACACUGGAGACCCAUAGCCAGAAGUAUGCCCAACUCCAGCAGGAGAAGGAUAGUGAAGUCACAAAUUUGCAAGAUACAGUCUUUAAACUCAGAGAAGAGAGCAAACUUCUUCGCAAGGCCCACCAAGAAGUUCACUCUCAGCUACUUAAUGCCCAGACCCAGAUGGAAGAGUUCAGACAGCUCAAGGAAGCUCUGCAGAAGAUGCCAAGCUUCAAAGGAGGAGGAGGAGGAGGAGGAGGGAGGGAGGGAGGAGGGAGGGAGGAGGAGGAGGAGGAGGGAAGGGGCAGCAGCAGCUCCAGGUGCUGAAGGAGCAGCCUCUGGAUCCAGGCAACAGCCAACUGCAGCUCACGAGGCAGAAGGCUUUCCCAGUCAAUCCGGAGCAUCGCCCUGCAGGGAGCUCGCUGGCAUCACAGCUCUCUGGGGUUCGGAAGCAGGCAGAUGGUCUUGUGCUGCAGGGCCGGAGCUCCAACAGCAACGAUGGCCUCAGGUCCCAGGUGAACGUGCCCCUCACCCACCCGGCCCCACUGCAAGAUGCCAAUUCACCACCAGAGGCUCCGCCGGCCUGGCCAGCAGGACAUGGGGAUGGUCACAUCAUCCGAUUCACCCGAACUGUGAACAGCCUGCCAAAUGGAAACCCAGUAUGUUCUGCAGACCCGGGGUUUGUUUUUUCCCUGAGAGCAGGCUCUGUGGUCUGGGCGCUGGGCAGGCCUGCUGA